rnacentral:tmRNA from 1 species
GGGGGCGAACGGUCUCGACUGGGUGGGAAGCAGCGGGGCUGCGAGCCGAGGUGGCCAGGUCCUCGCUAAUCAACUGGCAGGCGCAUAAACGCCAACAACCAGUACGCUCUCGCCGCUUAGAUAGCGACGACGCUCUCCCGGUAGGGCCGGCGGCCCGGGCGGAGCGAUACCAGCCGGCUACCGGCAGGCACCCUGGCCCCGGGUGCGUGCCGGGAAUCCCAACGGGCUGGCCGUUCGGGCAUCCGGUCCGCGGGAGGCCCGGACGGCGAGAACCAGAACGCGGACUACGUUCGUAGGCGCCUCGCCCUCAUCCAUCCAGGACGCGGGUUCGAUUCCCGCCGCCUCCACCA